rnacentral:lncRNA from 1 species
UAAUAUUCAGCAUUGAACCAUGUAAAUUUGAUCAGGAAGAUCUAGAAAAAAAUAGCAUAUAUGAUCCUGAACAUAGCUUAUUAUUCCACAACUACACCAUUUAAAUUUAAGUGAUAACAGUGGGUUAUUACAACAUGUUAAUUCUUUGCAUUGAGAGCACAUGAUUAAAGGGGUGAGCAAUUGCUGCUCAAACCAUACGAUUAACAGUGAACUUACUGAGAUGGCAUAUUUAGGAUUAUCUAUGAGCAAAAUGCCGGAAGCAAGACACACCUAGUGCUACUAGUUAUGUUAAGGCAUGAAUAGUUUUGAAUCUUUCUAGUGAAGGUGUGUACAACUACAGAUACGCCAAACUAAGAAAAUAAUGUAAAAAAACUCAGAUAUAUGCAGUGUGCAGGCAAUAGAGCAAUGCACAGAUUGGAUUCCAACUUUGGAACCUAGAUUUCGUUCUUUGGUGUGUUUACAUACAUUCCCUAGACUCAGUAAUUUGGCUUUAAAAUUGAGUCCUGUCGCCGUAUGGUGUAUCUGAACUGCAUAGCUCUUCACCAGUGAAAGACAUGACAGAGACUGAUUGCUAGGAUUCCAAUCGAAAGCUAAAAACAUAGAGCACCCUAACAAUCUGUACCUGACCACGAGAAUUAGCAUGUAAGCAUAAUCAUCUCGCUAAGCGUCUGCUCAAAUGUGCAUCGGCAACGUUGACGACAUCACACACACCCUGCAUCUAACUGUUUCAGCCAUGGGAACGAACCUUGAGUUGCUGCGGUAGGAAGGAGAUGCCCACAGCAAGGAAAAUGUCCCUGGCUUCUCCCAGCGGCAGGGACUGGAGCCUGGGGCUGCCAUCGCCGCUAGGGUUCAAGCCACCAACCGCCCUAAGCAGGGCCGACCGGAGAUCCGAACGGAGGGG